rnacentral:rRNA from 1 species
UACGGAGGGAGCUAGCGUUGUUCGGAAUUACUGGGCGUAAAGCGCGCGUAGGCGGCUUUGUAAGUCAGGGGUGAAAUCCUGGAGCUCAACUCCAGAACUGCCUUUGAUACUGGCGACCUUGAGUCCGGGAGAGGUGAGUGGAACUGCGAGUGUAGAGGUGAAAUUCGUAGAUAUUCGCAAGAACACCAGUGGCGAAGGCGGCUCACUGGCCCGGUACUGACGCUGAGGUGCGAAAGCGUGGGGAGCAAACAGG